rnacentral:rRNA from 1 species
AGUGAACGCUGGCGGUAGGCCUAACACAUGCAAGUCGAACGGCAGCACAGUAAGAGCUUGCUCUUACGGGUGGCGAGUGGCGGACGGGUGAGGAAUACAUCGGAAUCUACUUUUUCGUGGGGGAUAACGUAGGGAAAUUUACGCUAAUACCGCAUACGACCUACGGGUGAAAGCAGGGGAUCUUCGGACCUUGCGCGAUUGAAUGAGCCGAUGUCGGAUUAGCUAGUUGGCGGGGUAAAGGCCCACCAAGGCGACGAUCCGUAGCUGGUCUGAGAGGAUGAUCAGCCACACUGGAACUGAGACACGGUCCAGACUCCUACGGGAGGCAGCAGUGGGGAAUAUUGGACAAUGGGCGCAAGCCUGAUCCAGCCAUACCGCGUGGGUGAAGAAGGCCUUCGGGUUGUAAAGCCCUUUUGUUGGGAAAGAAAAGCAGCAGGUUAAUACCCCGCUGUUCUGACGGUACCCAAAGAAUAAGUACCGGCUAACUUCGUG